rnacentral:lncRNA from 1 species
CCAUCCUCCCCACAAACGGUGCCGUACGAGGAUCAGUAGCCAGCUGUUGGUCCACGGAGAGCAGCCCCUUGUUCUUCAGCAGGCCCUUGUAGUACAUAUUGUCCAGAAUCAUCGGCGUCUCACGGUCGUUCCUUGAGUACAAGACCGCAUUUGGGUCCGGGUUGGGGCUCGGGCAACGGGCCUUUAGGUAGCUAGCGUAGACCGGGUCCAGAGCCGGGUCCACGGCGGGAUAGAGUCGGCCCACCAAGUUGACGCAGUGGACCCGGCCCACCGAGUGGGCCCCCAAGAGAGCGACGGUGCCUUCUACGUCGAUGCCCAUGGAUUGAAAUCGGGUGAGUACGGCAGAGAUAGAGUCGUUGUGGUUUGGGAUGGAGCUUUCUACUUCUGCUAAGUAGCUCUGCUUGCUGUCCUUUCGCCCUGUUUUCAGCUCCAUUCUAGGGCCUCCUAGCUGUAAUUACGGUAAAAAUUGAUAUAUAUUUUCGUAAGGUAACAUUUGUGCGUGAUAAACAAAAUUGGUGAGAUAUUAGACUUUUUCUUUUUACCAUAACAAUCCCGUCACGGGCAGAGAGAGCGACGAUGUCGGCGCAGGAAACGGUGGAAGGGCACUCGGCCUCGAGAGCGUGUUUGAUGGUGGUGACGUAUUUGAAAUUCCUCAUACCAAAGCUCCUGCCGGAGUUCUUCUCCGAUUGGAUUCCAUUCACCGAUUCGAGUAACAGAGAAGCGUCGCAAGACUGCUCAAUCGAUCAAAUUGAUCAAAUUAUGGAACAUGUUAAUUAGCGUAGAAUAGAAUUUCCAAUUCAAAGGAGCAUGUAACAAUUAAUUAAAUGAUGGCAUGUAGGUAGGUACCUUGACGACGCAGUCGUGGAAGAGGUUGCGGAGCCAAGAGACGGCGGUGUUUCCAUGUUGAUGGUAAAGCUUGAUGACUUGCUCUUUCACGAUGGCUUCAGCUCUUGGGCAGCUCUGUUCGUAGUAGUUCGACUGGAGCUGGCUU